rnacentral:lncRNA from 1 species
UGAUGAUGAUGAUUCACCACUCCUUGGUGAGUUUGUUGGUGAUGACUCGGUUGAACUCUGUUAUGGACGGAAAGUUGGUUCACGAACUAGUGAAUCAUCCCGUUGAGUUUCUAGAGCUGGAGAAUUUUCACUGGAUGGUUGACCUUCCUUCUCAUUUUUGUCAAAAUAUGGAAGUACAUUCAGUGAUGGAUCUUCAAUAUUUUCCUCCCAAU